rnacentral:misc_RNA from 1 species
UCAACACCCCUCAAGCAAGUUUUGCUUGGAUCAUUUGGAGUAUGCAGGUGUCUUCUGACCCCGCAGCUCAGAAAGCCAUCGGCAGUGUCCACUUUGUCUUGACGCAGAUAAUACUAACAUUAUCAUCUGAACGAGUCAGUGGAAGUAUUUGCCAGAAACUGAAAUAUUUUCUUUAUGA